UACAUGCAAGUCGAACGAGUUCUCGUUGAUGAUCGGUGCUUGCACCGAGAUUCAACAUGGAACGAGUGGCGGACGGGUGAGUAACACGUGGGUAACCUGCCCUUAAGUGGGGGAUAACAUUUGGAAACAGAUGCUAAUACCGCAUAGAUCCAAGAACCGCAUGGUUCUUGGCUGAAAGAUGGCGUAAGCUAUCGCUUUUGGAUGGACCCGCGGCGUAUUAGCUAGUUGGUGAGGUAAUGGCUCACCAAGGCGAUGAUACGUAGCCGAACUGAGAGGUUGAUCGGCCACAUUGGGACUGAGACACGGCCCAAACUCCUACGGGAGGCAGCAGUAGGGAAUCUUCCACAAUGGACGCAAGUCUGAUGGAGCAACGCCGCGUGAGUGAAGAAGGCUUUCGGGUCGUAAAACUCUGUUGUUGGAGAAGAAUGGUCGGCAGAGUAACUGUUGUCGGCGUGACGGUAUCCAACCAGAAAGCCACGGCUAACUACGUGCCAGCAGCCGCGGUAAUACGUAGGUGGCAAGCGUUAUCCGGAUUUAUUGGGCGUAAAGCGAGCGCAGGCGGUUUUUUAAGUCUGAUGUGAAAGCCCUCGGCUUAACCGAGGAAGCGCAUCGGAAACUGGGAAACUUGAGUGCAGAAGAGGACAGUGGAACUCCAUGUGUAGCGGUGAAAUGCGU
rnacentral:rRNA from 1 species